rnacentral:lncRNA from 1 species
UUCAUACAUCAAAUUAUACAUUAGACCAAAGUCAAUGUAUAAGUUAGAUAUUUAUCCCAUUAUUUUUUGAAUUGCUAGCUAAAAUAUUGUGAAAUUAUAAUAUCAUGAAGCUUUUUAAGUGAACUUUCAAAUCUAAUGGUCUUUACCUUUUUAUUAAAAAUAUUUCAAUUGUUAUACGUCACUCAACGUGAUUCAUGAUAACAUGGAAAGACAUUUGAGAGACUUUCAUGGAUGAUCCUUUGCGUACCUCUCGACAUACAACACUUGGUGUAUUCUCUAUCUAAGCACUCGGAUAGUCCUCUAUCGUCCAACUAAUAACUGGGUGACCAUCCAACCAUCCGAGCACCUCAUCCUCUAGGCCACCGUUUUGAGUGGGUGCACAUCCACCUUUAAAGAGGAGAUCAUCAAGAGACCACUGAACGUAACAACCUCGUACUACCUUAGCCAACUUAACCAAGAGAAUGCAAGAAAAGUACAUGAAUGAAGACAACCCAUGUAUAAUAACCUUAGUACCUGGCUGACUGCACGAUCAUCAUGUCUCAAAUUUGCCGAUGACGCGGCCUCAUUGAGCAGAAAAUCUCCUUCUGUAUAAAUAUCCUGUAAAACGAUUAAAAAGGAAUCAAACCUUAAAUGCUCUCGGCACUCAACCCACUUUACCUCCUUACCUUACCUACUUUCUCUGGCUUUUCUUGCUCCACC